CCCAUGGCGUAGUGGUCACUGCACUCGCCUUGCACGCGGGAGAUCCGGGUUCGAUUCCCGGCGGG
rfam:Asian citrus Psyllid, Diaphorina citri - Florida Strain, whole genome shotgun sequence.